rnacentral:tRNA from 1 species
GCGGGCAUAUCUCAGUGGUAGAUUGCGACCUUGCCAAGGUCGAGGCGCGGGUUCGAUUCCCGCUGCCCGCUCCA